rnacentral:misc_RNA from 1 species
UGGGAUUAAUGGCAUGGGGCACCA